UACGGAAGGCAGCAGUGGGGAAUAUUGCACAAUGGGCGAAAGCCUGAUGCAGCUAUGCCGCGUGUAUGAAGAAGGCCUUAGGGUUGUAAAGUACUUUCAGUCGUGAGGAAGGUGUUAAGGUUAAUAACCUUAGCAAUUGACGUUAGCGACAGAAGAAGCACCGGCUAACUCCGUGCCAGCAGCCGCGGUAAUACGGAGGGUGCGAGCGUUAAUCGGAAUUACUGGGCGUAAAGGGCACGCAGGCGGUUAAUUAAGUUGGAUGUGAAAUCCCCGGGCUUAACCUGGGAAUGGCAUUCAAGACUGGUUAGCUAGAGUCUUGUAGAGGGGGGUUAGAAUUCCAUGUGUAGCGGUGAAAUGCGUAGAGAUGUGGAGGAAUACCGGUGGCGAAGGCGGCCCCCUGGACAAAGACUGACGCUCAUGUGCGAAAGCGUGGGGAGCAAACAGGGAUUAGAUACC
rnacentral:rRNA from 1 species